GACGAACGUUGGCGGCGUGCUUAACACAUGCAAGUCGAACGGAAAGGCCCUGCUUUUGUGGGGUGCUCGAGUGGCGAACGGGUGAGUAACACGUGAGUAACCUGCCCUUGACUUUGGGAUAACUUCAGGAAACUGGGGCUAAUACCGGAUAGGAGCUCCUGCUGCAUGGUGGGGGUUGGAAAGUUUCGGCGGUUGGGGAUGGACUCGCGGCUUAUCAGCUUGUUGGUGGGGUAGUGGCUUACCAAGGCUUUGACGGGUAGCCGGCCUGAGAGGGUGACCGGCCACAUUGGGACUGAGAUACGGCCCAGACUCCUACGGGAGGCAGCAGUGGGGAAUAUUGCACAAUGGGCGGAAGCCUGAUGCAGCAACGCCGCGUGCGGGAUGACGGCCUUCGGGUUGUAAACCGCUUUCGCCUGUGACGAAGCGUGAGUGACGGUAAUGGGUAAAGAAGCACCGGCUAACUACGUGCCAGCAGCCGCGGUGAUACGUAGGGUGCGAGCGUUGUCCGGAUUUAUUGGGCGUAAAGGGCUCGUAGGUGGUUGAUCGCGUCGGAAGUGUAAUCUUGGGGCUUAACCCUGAGCGUGCUUUCGAUACGGGUUGACUUGAGGAAAGGUAGGGGAGAAUGGAAUUCCUGGUGGAGCGGUGGAAUGCGCAGAUAUCAGGAGGAACACCAGUGGCGAAGGCGGUUCUCUGGGCCUUUCCUGACGCUGAGGAGCGAAAGCGUGGGGAGCGAACAGGCUUAGAUACCCUGGUAGUCCACGCUGUAAACGGUGGGUACUAGGUGUGGGGUCCAUUCCACGGGUUCCGUGCCGUAGCUAACGCUUUAAGUACCCCGCCUGGGGAGUACGGCCGCAAGGCUAAAACUCAAAGGAAUUGACGGGGCCCCGCACAAGCGGCGGAGCAUGCGGAUUAAUUCGAUGCAACGCGUAGAACCUUACCUGGGUUUGACAUGGAUCGGGAGUGCUCAGAGAUGGGUGUGCCUCUUUUGGGGUCGGUUCACAGGUGGUGCAUGCCUGUCGUCAGCUCGUGUCGUGAGAUGUUGGGUUAAGUCCCGCAACGAGCGCAACCCUUGUUCACUGUUGCCAGCACGUUAUGGUGGGGACUCAGUGGAGACCGCCGGGGUCAACUCGGAGGAAGGUGGGGAUGACGUCAAGUCCUCAUGCCCCUUAUGUCCAGGGCUUCACGCAUGCUACAAUGGCUGGUACAGAGAGUGGCGAGCCUGUGAGGGUGAGCGAAUCUCGGAAAGCCGGUCUCAGUUCGGAUUGGGGUCUGCAACUCGACCUCAUGAAGUCGGAGUCGCUAGUAAUCGCAGAUCAGCAACGCUGCGGUGAAUACGUUCCCGGG
rnacentral:rRNA from 1 species